UACGUAGGGUGCAAGCGUUUGUCCGGAAUUAUUGGGCGUAAAGAGCUCGUAGGCGGCUCGUUGCGUCGGCUGUGAAAACCCGCAGCUCAACUGUGGGCCUGCAGCCGAUACGGGCGGGCUGGAGUUCGGUAGGGGAGACUGGAAUUCCUGGUGUAGCGGUGAAAUGCGCAGAUAUCAGGAGGAACACCAGUGGCGAAGGCGACUACCUGGCCUGUUCUUGACGCUGAGGCGCGAAAGCUAGGGGAGCAAACGGG
rnacentral:rRNA from 1 species